rnacentral:lncRNA from 1 species
GGAGAGUCCGGUUCCUGUCAGCACUUCUCAGAAUGGAAAUGAGUAACUGUAAGACCAAGAAUCUCUGAGGCAGGAGUGAAGGCAGGACCUUCUGGGGGAAUAACUGACAAAUAUGCCUGGCCUGCAGCUACACAGCAACAUCCUCAGAUUCUGAGUCCUCCUGGGCAUCAGGGAUCCCUCACUAUCCUGCACAUCGUGAGUAUCAGGCAACUUCUUAUCUGCUGUCCCCGCUUAAAGGCCAGCUCAUUUACCACACAUACCAUACAACCAUGCUGUCAAAUCAAAGUGAGAAACAACGUGGGGGGCAGAAGGAUGGAAAGAAAUGUUCUGGCUCCUCCCACUCUCCAGUCCUUUUCCACCAACUCCUCUCACUGGGAGCAGCCAGUGGACAUAAGCUGGAGAAACAUAUAGGGCCAGUUUCACUUGGCCUCUCAUCUGCCUUCUGUGACACUCUUCCCUGAGAAAACAGAAGGAAGAAAGCAAGGGAUCUAAGAGCAAGCUGGUCCACACAGGCAACCUCCUGUACAAGCUGUGGAGCACUGAGGAGGGAGUUUUGGGACAAAGCAGAAGACAGAAGCGGGAAGUAUCCAUUUAUUAGCCCUAAGAACUGAAAAAGGCGUGAGUCACGAAAAGGUCCAGCUAGGAUUUUCCAGGAUGUAGAGCCACUUUCUCAGAGAAUAAAGUUGGAUUCUGGCUUCUGAUGAUGAUGAUGUAAAAUGGAACUAGCUCUGUGCCUACAAUAUAGAGUACAGCUUCCUUAAAAAUGUUUUAAAUUUUCUUGUGUUUUGUAAAGAAGGAAGACCAACGUGUGGAUACUUCAUUCCUCCUUAGAAUAGGGAACAAAAUAUCCAUGGAAGGAGUUACAGAGACAAAGUUUGGAGCUAAGACAAAAGUAUGGACCAUCCAGAGACUACCCCACCCAGGGAUACAUCCCAUAAUCAGCCACCAAACGCAGACACUAUUGCACAUGCCAGCAAGAUUUUGCUGAAAGGACCCUGAUAUAGUUGUCUCCUGUGAGGCUAUGGCAGUGCCUAGCAAAUACAGAAGUGGAUGCUCACAGUCAUAUAUAGGAUGGAACACAGGGCCCCCAAUGGAGGAGCUAAAGAAAGUACCCAAGGAGCUGAAGGAGUCUGCAACUCUAUAGGUGGAACACCUAUAUGAACUAACCAGUACCCCCUGGAACUCUUGUGUCUAGCUGCACAUGUAUCAGAAGAUGGCCUAGUCGGCCAUCAUUGGGAACAGAGGCCUCUUGAUCUUGCAAACUUUAUAUGCCCCAAUAAAGGGGAAUGCCAGGGCCAAGAAAUGGGAGUGUGUGGGUAGGGGAGCAGGGCGAGGGGGUAUAGGGGACUUUUGGGAUAGCAUUUGAAAUGUAAAUGAAGAAAAUAUCUAAUAAAAAAUUGAAAAAAA